rnacentral:siRNA from 1 species
GCACUUGCAGUAGUUGUGUGGU